ACAUCGGGCGAUGAAGCAGCUCUCUUCCAUUACACAUACUCCGCCAUUGAGGAAGGAGAAUGUCCCUUCGGGGACAUCCGAUAAAAUUGGAACGAUACAGAGAAGAUUAGCAUGGCCCCUGCGCAAGGAUGACACGCACAAAUCGAGAAAUGGUCCAAAUUUUUUUCUCCCCCAAAACUCUGCUACGGAACCCUGGUUCUCCUGUGAAAUUUUGCUAAGCUGCUUUUGAAUUUUGGAUUUCCUUAAAUUUUUAGGGUUUUUCACCUUUCUAACUUGGCUGCGUUUGGGAUUCUGGUGCUUUUCGCUCUUACCGUUUAUUGGAUAGAAUUGAAUGUGCAGCGUAUAGGUUCUUCAUACCUCAAGUCUAAUUGAAAUACAGAGUGGAAAUUUAUUGUGCUAUUUCUUUGGAGAAGUUUCUGGCUUUUUCUUUCUACUUUGGCUACAAUGAACACUGGCUCUAUAAUUGUGCGUGUCUGUGUUUUGUAUUCUGUCAUUAGAUUGUUUGUAGUUUUUGGAGUUGCAAUCGAAUUCAUUUUAUGCUGGUAAAACAAUGAAAUUUCAUAUUUGUUGCAGUGAAUUCCAGGUGAGAUAAGUUUUAUCGAGAAUGAGUAAAAUAUUUAACUGGAAAUGCUUAUGGUUCAACAACAUUCAUAGGACAUGAUAGAUAGCAGUUACAGAGUAGGAUUACAUGUUCUCAGAUUAUUUGGAUGUGAAACAGUAUAAGAUAUGAUGAUGUAUGAGUGUAAUUGUUCUUUCAGCUUUCCUGAAACUGGUGUUCUUGAUUUCAUAGCUGAAUCGUGGUGGACAAUUAAGUGUUUAAGGUUUCAACUUUCAACAUUUCUUGCAAAGUAGGACAUGACAUGAUAAAUAGCAGUUCAUUCUUCACAGACUGUAGUUUAUUCCUUUCAGAAAACAGUUAUUCAAGCCAUAUGUUUUUGGUAUGAGUUAGCUUAGCAAAUGUUUAUGGGCAGUGCUGGGUGCUUUGGUCAGGAGGACAGAGUGAACAUAGUCUUGUUUCUUUUUAUCCUCUACAAAUUCAUUUAAAGCUCAAUCCUUUCAAACCUCUAUGCUUGAACAAGUAAAGAUGUGAUUGGCAUCUAAAUUACCAUGUGGUUUCUGUAAUUCUUGUGUGUCCAGGGGCUGAAUGUUCAUGAUCUAGUAUAGAAAAUGGCAAGAAUAUAAACUAAGCAAAACCUCUUUUAGAAUGAUGGCCUUUUCUUCUCUAUAUUUACCUGUCUGUUCUUGCCUGUGGAAGAAUCUACAAGGCAUGAACAAUUAAAGAAAAAUCAACCCCAGCAUUCUUCUCCCACUUCCCUUGUACCUGCUGCCAGUGAAUUGGUAUUGUUGUUGAGUUGCAGAAAGAAGUGGAGAGGCUGGCUGGCUGGCUGGCACCAGAAGGAUGAAGAGUUUAACAAGAGAACAAGAAUUCAAAGUCAGAGUGAGGCCCAUACCAUACCAUACCAGCUGGCUGUUUCAGUGAGUCAAGUAGGUGAGCACACAUAUAGUAGUGAUGAUUCAGAUUUGUAUCAAAUAAUGGCAGCAGUAAUGUCUCAUUUACUGGUGCAAUCUCAAGCUUAUAAUAGUCUUAUAGAGAUGGACUAGCCCAAUAGAAAAAUACUACUUAUACUCAACUUUUACUCUCUCUUACAAAUGACCCAUAAGAUUAAAAUGUCC